CCAAUAGCGUAUAUUAAAGUUGUUGCAGUUAAAAAGCUCGUAGUUGAAUUUCAGGCCUGGCUGGACGGUCCGCCCUUCAGGUGAGUACUGUCUGUGGUCGGGUCCUACCUUCUGGCGAAGCGUCAUGGCCUUAACCGGCCGUGGCGGGGAACCAGGACUUUUACUGUGAAAAAAUUAGAGUGUUCAAAGCAGGCAAUCGCUUGGAUACAUUAGCAUGGAAUAAUGGAAUAGGACAAUGGUUCUAUUUGUUGAUUUCUAGGACCGUUGUAAUGAUUAAUAGGGAUAGUUGGGGGCAUUAGUAUUCAAUUGUCAGAGGUGAAAUUCUUGGAUUUAUUGAAGACUAACUACUGCGAAAGCAUUUGCCAAGGAUGUUUUCAUUAAUCAAGAACGAAAGUUAGGGGAUCGAAGACGAUCAGAUACCGUCGUAGUCUUAACCAUAAACUAUGCCGACUAGGAAUCGGGCGAUGUUGAAAAAAUGACGCGCUCGGCACCUCAUG
rnacentral:rRNA from 1 species